GGAAUAUUGCGCAAUGGGCGAAAGCCUGACGCAGCAACGCCGCGUGAGGGAUGAAGGCCUUCGGGUUGUAAACCUCUUUUAGCAGGGAAGAAGCGAAAGUGACGGUACCUGCAGAAAAAGCACCGGCUAACUACGUGCCAGCAGCCGCGGUAAUACGUAGGGUGCAAGCGUUAUCCGGAAUUAUUGGGCGUAAAGAGCUCGUAGGCGGUUUGUCGCGUCUGCUGUGAAAAUCUGAGGCUCAACCUCGGACUUGCAGUGGGUACGGGCAGACUAGAGUGCAGUAGGGGAGAAGGGAAUUCCUGGUGUAGCGGUGGAAUGCGCAGAUAUCAGGAGGAACACCAAUGGCGAAGGCACUUCUCUGGGCUGUAACUGACGCUGAGGAGCGAAAGCGUGGGGAGCGAACAGGAUUAGAUACCCUGGUAGUCCACGCCGUAAACGUUGGGCGCUAGAUGUGGGUCACAUUCCACGUGAUCCGUGUCGCAGCUAACGCAUUAAGCGCCCCGCCUGGGGAGUACGGCCGCAAGGCUAAAACUCAAAGGAAUUGACGG
rnacentral:rRNA from 1 species